rnacentral:rRNA from 1 species
UACGUAGGGCGCAAGCGUUGUCCGGAAUUAUUGGGCGUAAAGAGCUCGUAGGUGGCGUGUCGCGUCUGCCGUGAAAGCCCAUGGCUUAACUGUGGGUCUGCGGUGGAUACGGGCAGGCUGGAGGCUGGUAGGGGCAAGCGGAAUUCCUGGUGUAGCGGUGAAAUGCGCAGAUAUCAGGAGGAACACCGGUGGCGAAGGCGGCUUGCUGGGCCAGUUCUGACGCUGAGGAGCGAAGCGUGGGGAUCAAACAGG